GCGGGCGUAAUUCAGUGGUAGAAUACCAGCUUCCCAAGCUGGGUAUGAGGGUUCGAUUCCCUUCGCCCGCUCCA
rnacentral:tRNA from 13 species